UACAGAGGCUCCAAGCGUUAUCCGGAAUCACUGGGCGUAAAGGGUGUGUAGGCGGUCGUAUUAGUCUUUCGUGAAAGCUUUUGGGCUUAACCCAGAAAACGCGGGAGAAACGGUACGGCUACGAGGACGUAAGAGGUAAAGGGAACUCAUGGUGUAGGGGUGAAAUCCGUUGAUAUCAUGGGGAACACCAAAUGCGAAGGCACUUUACUGGUACGCUCCUGACGCUGAAACACGAAAGCGUGGGAAUCGAACGGG
rnacentral:rRNA from 1 species